UACCAGCACCCCGAGUGGUCGGGACGUUUAUUGGGCCUAAAGCAUCCGUAGCCGGUUCUACGAGUCUUCCGUUAAAUCCAACUGCUUAACAGGUGGGCUGCGGAAGAUACUAUAGAGCUAGGAGGCGGGAGAGGCAAGCGGUACUCGAUGGGUAGGGGUAAAAUCCGUUGAUCCAUUGAAGACCACCAGUGGCGAAGGCGGCUUGCCAGAACGCGCUCGACGGUGAGGGAUGAAGCUGG
rnacentral:rRNA from 1 species